UAUGAACCGUUAUAACCGGCGAUUUCCGAAUGGGGAAACCCAGUGUGUUUCGACACACUAUCAUUAACUGAAUCCAUAGGUUAAUGAGGCGAACCGGGGGAACUGAAACAUCUAAGUACCCCGAGGAAAAGAAAUCAACCGAGAUUCCCCCAGUAGCGGCGAGCGAACGGGGAGCAGCCCAGAGCCUGAAUCAGUGUGUGUGUUAGUGGAAGCGUCUGGAAAGGCGCGCGAUACAGGGUGACAGCCCCGUACACAAAAAUGCACAUGCUGUGAGCUCGAUGAGUAGGGCGGGACACGUGGUAUCCUGUCUGAAUAUGGGGGGACCAUCCUCCAAGGCUAAAUACUCCUGACUGACCGAUAGUGAACCAGUACCGUGAGGGAAAGGCGAAAAGAACCCCGGCGAGGGGAGUGAAAAAGAACCUGAAACCGUGUACGUACAAGCAGUGGGAGCACGCUUAGGCGUGUGACUGCGUACCUUUUGUAUAAUGGGUCAGCGACUUAUAUUCUGUAGCAAGGUUAACCGAAUAGGGGAGCCGAAGGGAAACCGAGUCUUAACUGGGCGUUAAGUUGCAGGGUAUAGACCCGAAACCCGGUGAUCUAGCCAUGGGCAGGUUGAAGGUUGGGUAACACUAACUGGAGGACCGAACCGACUAAUGUUGAAAAAUUAGCGGAUGACUUGUGGCUGGGGGUGAAAGGCCAAUCAAACCGGGAGAUAGCUGGUUCUCCCCGAAAGCUAUUUAGGUAGCGCCUCGUGAAUUCAUCUCCGGGGGUAGAGCACUGUUUCGGCAAGGGGGUCAUCCCGACUUACCAACCCGAUGCAAACUGCGAAUACCGGAGAAUGUUAUCACGGGAGACACACGGCGGGUGCUAACGUCCGUCGUGAAGAGGGAAACAACCCAGACCGCCAGCUAAGGUCCCAAAGUCAUGGUUAAGUGGGAAACGAUGUGGGAAGGCCCAGACAGCCAGGAUGUUGGCUUAGAAGCAGCCAUCAUUUAAAGAAAGCGUAAUAGCUCACUGGUCGAGUCGGCCUGCGCGGAAGAUGUAACGGGGCUAAACCAUGCACCGAAGCUGCGGCAGCGACGCUGAUGCGUUGUUGGGUAGGGGAGCGUUCUGUAAGCCUGCGAAGGUGUGCUGUGAGGCAUGCUGGAGGUAUCAGAAGUGCGAAUGCUGACAUAAGUAACGAUAAAGCGGGUGAAAAGCCCGCUCGCCGGAAGACCAAGGGUUCCUGUCCAACGUUAAUCGGGGCAGGGUGAGUCGACCCCUAAGGCGAGGCCGAAAGGCGUAGUCGAUGGGAAACAGGUUAAUAUUCCUGUACUUGGUGUUACUGCGAAGGGGGGACGGAGAAGGCUAUGUUGGCCGGGCGACGGUUGUCCCGGUUUAAGCGUGUAGGCUGGUUUUCCAGGCAAAUCCGGAAAAUCAAGGCUGAGGCGUGAUGACGAGGCACUACGGUGCUGAAGCAACAAAUGCCCUGCUUCCAGGAAAAGCCUCUAAGCAUCAGGUAACAUCAAAUCGUACCCCAAACCGACA
rnacentral:rRNA from 1 species